rnacentral:lncRNA from 1 species
GUCCCUACAAAGGACAUGAACUCAUCAUUUUUUAUGGCUGCAUAGUAUUCCAUGGUGUAUAUGUGCCACAUAAAGUUCUUUUCUGCUUAGGCAUUCUAUUGUUCUAUUAUAUCAAUUACUUGGUAUCAUCUACCAAUCACACUGAGAAAUAUGAGAGCAGUCAAAAUAAUAAGCAGUAAGAUUUUGUACCAUUGGUAUGUUACUGUUUCAUUAUUAAGAAAUGACUCUCAUGUCUAAAUAUCUCCUGUUAUUCCACGUCUUCCACUCCACUCCCCAAUACCUUCAUUAGAGGCAGAACUUUCAAGUUCAAAUUACAGUUCUGACAUUUGAUAUCCUUAAUGGCUUCCAUCAACUCUAUUAAGUAUUUUUCUUGAUAUGUAUAGAAAAUAAUAUCUCUUCUCCUUUCCAGAAACUGUUUCCAAAGUACUUUGAGGAAAGGAGGAAAAAACACUGUGGUAGAGAAUGAUACAGCAUCAAACUACCUUCAUAUUCCACAUUUUUCAUUGCUGAAUAAAGAAAAUUCAUUAUUCUGAAGCUGUUAAGAGUAAAAUUGCUCAACUACAAAGAUAAUUAUUGUCAUCCUUCGCCUCAAAUUCACACACAAAGAUAAAUGAAGAGCAAAUAAAAAAGGUAAGUACUCUACAUUUUCAGAACCAUAAUAAUAUAAAGGAAAUGUAAAAUAAACUGAAUACAAUUUCUGCAUAAAGGCUAAAUUCCAUUACUACACGAGUUGCUGAAACAGCACAUUUUCAUAUAAAAUAAUUGUAACAGGUAGUGAAAAAUACACUGAAAUCUACUCAAAAGAAUACAAGUCACAUGGUAUCUAUACAGAUUCAAUAACUAACAGUGCAGUCUGCAUAAAGGACAACAGUUUCUCUUUCGCCAUCUCCCUGUUUUUUCUUUUCUCUUUACUGUUUUUAGGAUUAACUCAAUAGUAGAUUCAGCUACACCAGUAUUUUCAGAAGUUUCAGUGCCAAUGCCUUAAAAGGCAUGUAACAGCAGAAAGGUGAUGCCAAAGUGGUAGAGAGGGCACCACCACACAAUCUAUUUCUCAACUUGAUACCUCUGAUGUUGAUGACUUAAUAAUCACUGUCAUCAGACCAGCACCAUCUCAUUAUGCUUUCAGUGGCUACCCCGCACAUUUUAACAUGCAUAUCUGACUUAACAGUCUAAAGCAGCCGGGUGUGGUGGCCUGCACCAGUUGUCUCAGUUACUCGGGAGGCUGAGGCAGGAGGAUUGCUUGAGCCCAGGAGUUCAAGGCUGCAGUGAGCUAUGAUCACACCACUGCCCUCCAGCCUGGAAAACACAGCAAGGUCCUGUCUCUUAAAAACAAAAAGUCUAAAGUUCACCAGUUUCUCUCUCUUCCUUUCAAACAACAAAAGGACUAACAUUUCAACUAUCAACGUGCCUCUCCAGUUUUACAAGUUAUUGCUGCCCAGUAUUUCAGUUCUAAGGUAACAGGUAUUUUCUUUCAACUAUGUGAAGAUACUAUUUUAUCAAUCUAUUGUCAUUACUGUUCUUUGAACUUCUUGGGAAUCUAAUGCUGUUUGUUAUGUCUGCUGUUCUUGCUCAUGGUAGGUAUUUCCCUGUGUAUUUGGAGUGUGAGAUUAUCUUCAGUAGAGUUUGUUUUGAGAAUAUCAUGCCACUUGGGUUGAGGGUACAAACUUCAAGUUUGGUUUUAUAUUGAUUUCUAUAGCUACUCCAGCAUUAUCACCAACUGAAGACAAUUUUUUAUUUUAAUGCCCUGGCAUGAAGAUUCUUGAACUACACAGGAAACAUAAAUUCAAACUCUAGGCUCACUUAAGGGCCAACUGUGGCUGCAAAUUCUCAAUGAAGACUAUUUCUGUUUUGUCUCUAUCCUUAAGCCCAGGCUAAAGCAGAUAUACUUCUACACUUCUUUGUAAAUUCUCUAUGCUGGCUAGCUCAAUUUUCUGUUUGUUUGCUUAUUUUCUAAUUGGCCCUUUCAUUAAGGGUGUAGUCCUUGACCAGUUCUAGCUUUGUGUGUAUAUCUGUGCAUGCAUUUCAGGGGAUAUCUUGAUUCUAAUUCAUUCUGCUACGUCUAUUCUCAUGUCAUCUCAUUGCUGUUAAAAUCUCUGGUUUCAAAAACUGGAAAAUCGCCCUCCAGCUUCCCUACCCUACACCCUGAGAAUCCUCAGCAUCACACCAACUGUCCAUAUCACUCUGGUGUUUGGUUCCUUCUUCAUUUCUAGCACCUGGAACUUCUCCUACUUUCUAGUGAAUUCAACAACGUAUUUAAAAGAAUCUUAUAAUAUUUUAAGUAUUAUUUUUAGAUGUUUUGCAGAAAGAGUGUUUUCAAAUUACCUAGUCUGACAUAUUGCUUUUAACAGUAUUGUCAUUAAAUCCUUUCAACAAUAUAAGGCAGAGUAUUUUUUUAUAGAUGAGGAAACUGAAGUUCAGAAAAGUUAAAGAUUCACUAUUAAUCAAGUUCAUAGUCGUAAUUACAUUAUUCAUAUAAAUAUUUAACUGUUCAUCUUUUUCUCUAGAUUUUCAACUCCAUAAAAAAAUAAAUCAAUGUUUGUUUUCAUUAUUCUCAAGAACUAGCAAAGUGCCUAACUCAUAUUAGGCAGUCAAUAAAUAUUUGUUAAAAAAUAAUAAUUUACUCAUUAAUGGCUAGUAAAUGGUAGGGCCAGGAUUAGAAUCCAGGUUUUCUGAAUCAUGGUUCACUACCCUCAGUGACUGAAAUAAAUAGUGAUAUUAGCCAAUAAGAAACCUCAGGAGAGGAUCCAGCCUAAAGAAUACCUUUACAGCCACAGUUACUCAAGUCACUUGUUUGUCCACUCAAUUACUCAGUAUUUACUGAGUUCCUGUUAAAGGCACUGGGCUAAGUCCUGGGGGUAUAAGAGUAAGCAAUUUAAACAUAGCCUCUGACAUCACAGAGGUAGUAGAUACCAAUCAAAUAAUCACACAUAUACAUUUAUUUAAAAAUGUCUGAAUUUUUAAUUGACAAAUAUUUUAUGUAUUUACAGGAUACAAUGUGUUUUUGGUAUUAUACACUGUGGGAUGAAUAUAUCAAGACAUGAAAGCCAUUUGCAGCAAAGACUGAACCAACCAACAUUUAAAUAAAAUCUGAGAACAAGGCCAUUUCUAAAAUAAGAUACAAAACCAGGUGAAAGGCCAGUAUUGCUCUGAGAAGAGACCAGGAGAAAAAGAAAACACUCGGCACUAAGAAUCAUUCUUGUGCCAAACUAUGAAGAGAGGAAAGCUAUAUAAGGAAAAUCCAUGAGCUUGGAGUUAAUGUUUAGUAUAACAAAAGUACAUUCAAUACACAUCAACCUAGAUAGCUACAAAAAUGGCUCUUUGGAAAAUAAAAAGCAAAAUUGAAAAAAAAAAAAAAAAAAAAGGUUCUACAAAGUUCACUUUCUCCCGUGUAUGGAGUUUUAUGAAGCCCUCAAGAUGGCAAAUAGAUUAAUAUAAAGUGGUCACUGAUUGCCUGGCCAUUUAUUCUUUCUGGCCCUGAAAUUUCACAGUGAAUCUUAACAUUUUGAAAGAACAGAGGAACUGCUAUUCUUUAGUUUGGGAAGAACUUAUUCAGCAUAAGACUGAUCAGCAACUUUCACUACACCCUUCCCAAACCACCCCCAACCUCCAUAUCACUUCUUUACUGUUAGUUUAGUAAAAGUUCAUUGACCUUAAGUGAACUCCCAGAAAACUAUUAAACUGGAUUUUAAAAGUU